rnacentral:misc_RNA from 1 species
UUUCCGUAGGUGAACCUGCGGAAGGAUCAUUAACACGAACAAAAUGUUCCAAAACCUUUUUGGAUCAACGCCAACCUUUGAAAAGGCGAACCUAGUUGUAUUUUUCUCCUUUUUCUAUUUCGUUUUUCUCAAACGCAACUUCUCAUGGAAAUUGACUAGAAUCGUGUGAUUUGUUCCAAUCCUAUCACCUCUUUCUCCUCUCCUCGUGAGAUGAGAUGGGAUGUGAGAUGGGAGAUGGGGGGUGGGUUUGGAACUAACCACUCCUAACGCUAAAACAACUCUUAACAACGGAUAUCUUGGCUCUC